rnacentral:rRNA from 1 species
ACGGGACUGGGGGCAACUCCAGUUCAGUGGCGGACGGGUGCGUAACACGUGAGGAACAUGACUUUCGGCGGGGGAUAGCCGGCCCAACGGCCGGGUAAUACCGCGUACGACCUCUCGGGGACAUCCCCGGUUGGUGAAAGCAGCAAUGCACCGAAAGAGUGCCUCGCGGCCUAUCAGCUAGUUGGUGGGGUAACGGCUCACCAAGGCGACGACGGGUAGCUGGUCUGAGAGGAUGGCCAGCCACAUUGGGACUGAGACACGGCCCAGACUCCUACGGGAGGCAGCAGUGGGGAAUAUUGCGCAAUGGGCGAAAGCCUGACGCAGCGACGCCGCGUGUGGGAUGACGGCCUUCGGGUUGUAAACCACUGUCGGGAGGGACGAAUGCGCCGCAAGGCGAGUGACGGUACCUCCAAAGGAAGCACCGGCUAACUCCGUGCCAGCAGCCGCGGUAAUACGGAGGGUGCGAGCGUUGUCCGGAAUCACUGGGCGUAAAGGGCGCGUAGGCGGCCUGAUAAGUA